GCUAACCAGUCACCCAGGAUGCGUUUCGCCACAAAUGAACUCUCGCGAAAUGAGAACAGGAAGCCGAGAUGCGGAAGUCAGCCUAAAGGCAUGUGGGGGAUUCUGGAGUGAAGUCUGGUGCUGGAGAGGGACGUCAGUUGUUAAAACAUAAAAGUGUGACAAAAGUGUGUAGCUCAGCUAAUGUAUCGGACAUUAACAUUUUAGUUUUAGUAAGCAAUAGUACAGUCAUUUCAGAUGCUAUUAAGAGAAAGCUGGAUGACAAGGCAAAGAAAUCUAGAAGAGGAGGAAAGACUAAGAGCCAGAGGAGUUUGGAGGACUCCAAGGAAGCAGAGUCACAAAAGGACUGAAGAGCAGAGUUCAAGUCAGAUGGGGUCCCAGCACCGAAAGGGGGAAGUGGAUGAGCGCUCCCACCCUAA
rnacentral:lncRNA from 1 species